rnacentral:lncRNA from 1 species
GUUGGAAGCUGCAUGGUCUUUUAUGACUUAGUCUCAGAUGACAGGCUGUGUCACUUUCUUCUCAGCCAGCUCAAGUCUGCUGAGAUUUCCACGGGUAGGCAACAUAGACCAUUGAUAAAAGGAAAAAAGUUCUAAAAAAUUUGUGGAGGCUAUUUUAUAAAAACCACCAAAACAUGCUGACUGUUGGCAGUACUUGCUGAACUAGGGAGUAUUCUGGAACUAUGUGAGGACAUCUUCAUUGUAAGAAGUUGGAUCAAGACAUCCUAGGUAUUGAUUUUAAUCUUAUUAAAUGAAAUAACCACGUGUCAACCUGGGGGAAAGACUGAGUGAAGACCAUCAUGAUCAUCUCAAAACUCAAAGGAAUUUGCAUCCAGAAUGGCUUAACUUUGAAAAUAGGUACCUGAGCAAAGAAAAGGGUUAAUUCAUUUGGUUGUUAUAGAUUUAGAAGAAAGCUAUGGAUUUAGAAGAAAACUCACUUGACUACCUAAAUAGCUUUAUGUCAUUUCCAGCUCUCAUAUCUCUCUACUUUGGAAGUAGAUUUUGAAACCCAGAUUCUAUUUUGAGGCUUCUCUUGCCAAAGGAAUUGUCAUGACUCUUCUCUUUACUUCACAGGACCCAACUUUCACACCAUUCUAAUCUUUUCUAAUUCAACUUCCUAUGCUUUGUUUUCAUCAAGGCAGUUAAUCAAAUAAUAACCAUAAUCAUAGUAAUAGUAAUAAUUAUGACUAUAAUUAAGUUGUAUUUAAAUACUAAGUGCUUUGCCUGUAUACAUUCAUUUUAUCCUCACAACUAUAGGAGGUAGCAACUAGUGUCAUACUGAGGCAUAGAAAGGUGAAGUAAGUCACCCAAUUUUAAGUGGCAGAGGAAAUUUUCAUGCCCACAUGGUGUGGCUCAAAGCCUGCACACUGGAACACUAUACCAGAUAGCAUGGAUUACUAGGCAGGAUUAAAGAGAAGUGGCAUAAUUGUAUCACAGUUGGUAUACUAAAGGAAAAUUUGGCCUCUCAUUCCAAGAGAGAUUUUAAUACAAUGCAAAGCAUCAAAAAUAACUUGAAAAUAUGA